rnacentral:pre_miRNA from 1 species
AUAAUUGCUAAUGCAGCAUCAUCAAGAUUCUCAUUGCACAUUGCAAUACUUAGCAUUGCAUGUGAAUCUUGAUGACGCUGCAUUUGCAAGAAA